UCCAAAAAUCUAAACCCAGCAGUCCGAAGACUCUAGUCUCCAAACGAAAAACAAAAGAAAAAAAGAAAACAAAACCUACGAGGCAAGACAGAGAGAGUGAGAGGCGAGAGAGACUAAGAGAGACUUUGCCGCUGCCUAGGCCGUGACGCCGCCACCACGCGAGAGCCAUCUCGCAGACCCACACGACACCCACCACGCGACACCCAUCUAGCUAUGAUGUUGUUGCUGGCUUUGAUCUACUCUGGCCUUCACACUUCACACUAAAGUUGGAGCUCCUGCUCGUGUUGGGUUGGUAGCACCAAUUGAUGUUGUGUUGUCCCUCUGGGCAACACAGGUCUGGAUCCAUCACUGACCUCUUUUUCCAGGUUCUCAAUAUUCCCACCAAAAUCAAUAAAGGAACUGUUGAAAUCAUCACCCCCUUAACUGUCGCUUAUUCUCUCAUAUCCAAACCUAGCUGCUGCACCACAUAUGUUCACCAAUGCCUACAAGAAUGUUCUUGCAGUUGGUGUUGCUACUGAGUAUUCUUUCCCUCAGGUAGAGAAAGUUAAGGAGUAUUUAAAGGAUCCUAGAAUUUUUGCUGUUGCUGCUGCCCCUGUUGCAGCAGCUGCUUCCAGUGGUGCCCCUACUGUUGCUGCUGUGAAGGAGGAAGAGCCUGCUAAAGAGUCGGAUGAUGACAUGGGUUAGUGGUGUUUAUUUCUUGAUGUUUUACUGUAGAAAUGAUUUAUUUUUUGGAGAAUCUUUAAGUUUAAUAUGCCAUUUUACUCAGACUUGCAAAAUACUUCCUCCAGCUGAGAGAAUUAUUAAUUUGGAUGUC